rnacentral:rRNA from 1 species
UGUUGCACUACUUACUCAUGCAAUGUCGUAGCGAAUGAUGAGGAGCUUGCUCCUCUGAUUUAGCGGCGGACGGGUGAGUAACACGUGGGUAAUCUGCCUGUAAGACGGGGAUAACUCCGGGAAACCGGGGCUAAUACCGGAUAAUAAGAGAAGAAGCAUUUCUUCUUUUUGAAAGUCGGUUUCGGCUGACACUUACAGAUGAACCCGCGGCGCAAUAACUAGUUGGGGAGGUAACGGCUCACCAAGGCGACGAUGCGUAGCCCACCUGAGAGGGUGAUCGGCCACACUGGGACUGAAACACGGCCCAGACUCCUACGGGAGGCAGCAGUAGGGAAUCUUCGGCAAUGGGCGAAAGCCUGACCGAACAACGCCGCGUGAGCGAUGAAGGCCUUCGGGUCGUAAAGCUCUGUUGUUAGAGAAGAACAAGUACGAGAGUAACUGCUCGUACCUUGACGGUACCUAACCAGAAAGCCACGGCUAACUACGUGCCAGCAGCCGCGGUAAUACGUAGGUGGCAAGCGUUAUCCGGAAUUAUUGGGCGUAAAGCGCGCGCAGGCGGUCUCUUAAGUCUGAUGUGAAAGCCCACGGCUCAACCGUGGAGGGUCAUUGGAAACUGGGAGACUUGAGUGCAGGAGAG